rnacentral:rRNA from 1 species
UAGGGAAUCUUCGGCAAUGGACGAAAGUCUGACCGAGCAACGCCGCGUGAGUGUAGAAGGUUUUCGGAUCGUAAAACUCUGUUGCUAGAGAAGAACAAGGACGUUAGUAACUGAACGUCCCCUGACGGUAUCUAACCAGAAAGCCACGGCUAACUACGUGCCAGCAGCCGCGGUAAUACGUAGGUGGCAAGCGUUGUCCGGAUUUAUUGGGCGUAAAGCGAGCGCAGGCGGUUUCUUAAGUCUGAUGUGAAAGCCCCCGGCUCAACCGGGGAGGGUCAUUGGAAACUGGGGGACUUGAGUGCAGAAGAGGAGAGUGGAAUUCCAUGUGUAGCGGUGAAAUGCGUAAAUAAAUGGGGGAAAACCAGUGGCGAAGGCGGCUCUCUGGUCUGUAACUGACGCUAAGGCUCGAAAGCGUGGGGAGCAAACAGG